rnacentral:rRNA from 1 species
CCUACGGGGGGCUGCAGUGAGGAAUAUUGGACAAUGGAUGGAAAUCUGAUCCAGCCAUGCCGCGUGCAGGAAGACUGCCUUAUGGGUUGUAAACUGCUUUUAUACGGGAGCAAUAAGGGUUACGUGUAACCUGAUGAGAGUACUGUAUGAAUAAGGAUCGGCUAACUCCGUGCCAGCAGCCGCGGUAAUACGGAGGAUCCGAGCGUUAUCCGGAAUUAUUGGGUUUAAAGGGUGCGUAGGCGGCUAUUUAAGUCAGCGGUGAAAUUUUGCAGCUUAACUGUAACAGUGCCGUUGAAACUGUUUAGCUAGGAUUUGGUUGCAGUGUGCGGAAUGUGUGGUGUAGCGGUGAAAUGCUUAGAUAUCACACAGAACACCAAUUGCGAAGGCAGCACACUAAGUCAAUAUUGACGCUGAGGCACGAAAGUGUGGGGAUCAAACAGGAUUAGAUACCCGGGUAGUC